UACGUAGGCAGCGAGCGUUGUUCGGAGUUACUGGGCGUAAAGGGCGCGUAGGCGGACAGUUAAGUCAGAGGUGAAAGCCCAGGGCUCAACCCUGGAAUUGCCUUUGAUACUGGCUGUCUUGAGUGCGGGAGAGGUGUGUGGAACUCCGAGUGUAGAGGUGAAAUUCGUAGAUAUUCGGAAGAACACCAGUGGCGAAGGCGACACACUGGCCCGUAACUGACGCUGAGGCGCGAAAGCGUGGGGAGCAAACAGG
rnacentral:rRNA from 1 species